rnacentral:rRNA from 1 species
GACGAACGCUGGCGGCGUGCCUAAUACAUGCAAGUAGAACGCAGUUGCGAACGGGUGAGUAACGCGUAGGUAACUGCCCCAUAGCGGGGGAUAACUAUUGGAAACGAUAGCUAAUACCGCAUUCUGUGAGAUGGACCUGCGCUGUAUUAGCUAGUUGGUGAGGUAAAGGCUAACCAAGGCGACGAUACAUAGCCGGCCUGAGAGGGUGAGAGGCCAAGCUGGAACUGAGGCGAGGGCCAGACUCCUGCGGGAGGCGGCAGUAGGGAAUCUUCGGCAAUGGACAGAAGUCUGGCCGAACAACGCCGCGGGAGUGAAGAAGUUUUUCGGAUCGUAAAGCUCUAUUGUUAGAGAAGCGGUAACUAGCCAGAGAGGGGCGGCUAACUACGUGCCAGCAGCCGCGGUAAUUC